AUUUCUCCCCCUAUUUAUUUCACACCCUUUUAUAUCCCUACUCUUACUCUGCCACUGAUGUCAUUGUAUUCAUGACAUUCGCGGCUCUAUAGAGACCUCAUUCUUGGUCAUUUUGUCGUAAAAAUUUAGGUGCAGGUUCGAUCUUGGUUAUUCUUUAGCUCAGAUCUUGCAGAUCACGCAGAUUUGUAUUGUAUUUGGUGGAGAUUUUAACCUCCGAUCUACGUUUAGCAGCCUGCAAACAUGCCUCUUCGGCUUGAGAUCAAGAGGAAGCUUGCUCAAAGAUCUGAACGUGUGAAAUCAGUAGAUCUUCAUCCAACAGAGCCAUGGAUGCUUGCAAGUCUGUAUUCUGGAAGUGUAUGCAUUUGGAAUUACCAGUCACAGACUUUGGCAAAGUCCUUUGAAGUCACGGAGCUUCCAGUACGGUCUGCCAAGUUUAUAGCCCGGAAGCAGUGGGUUGUGGCUGGUGCAGAUGACAUGAUUAUUCGAGUAUACAAUUAUAACACCAUGGACAAGGUAAAAGUAUUUGAAGCACAUACUGACUAUAUCAGGUGUGUCACAGUUCAUCCAACCCUGCCCUAUGUUCUGUCAUCAUCGGAUGACAUGCUAAUCAAGCUUUGGGACUGGGAUAAAGGUUGGCAAUGCACACAAAUAUUUGAAGGGCAUUCACAUUAUGUGAUGCAAGUUGCCUUUAAUCCCAAGGACACAAAUACAUUUGCGAGUGCCUCACUGGAUCGCACUAUAAAGAUAUGGAGUCUUGGCUCGCUAGAACCAAAUUUUACACUUGAUGCCCAUACAAAGGGUGUAAAUUGUGUUGAUUACUUUACGGGAGGUGACAGACCGUAUCUGAUUUCAGGUUCAGAUGAUCAUACAGCAAAGGUGUGGGACUAUCAGACAAAAAGCUGUAUCCAGACUCUUGAAGGACAUACACAUAAUGUCUCAGCAGUUUGUUUCCAUCCUGAACUUCCUAUCAUUAUCACUGGCUCAGAAGAUGGUACCGUACGCAUUUGGCAUUCAACAACAUACAGGCUAGAAAACACUUUGAAUUAUGGGCUAGAACGUGUAUGGGCGAUCGGCUAUUCUAAAGGAUCAAAUCGGGUUGCUAUUGGGUACGAUGAAGGCACAAUCAUGAUCAAAAUUGGUCGAGAGGAGCCAGUUGCUAGUAUGGACAGUAGUGGAAAAAUAAUUUGGGCAAAGCACAAUGAGAUACAGACUGUAAAUAUUAAGGCAGUUGGAGCAGACAUUGAGGUGACAGAUGGGGAGAGAUUGCCAUUAGCUGUCAAGGAAUUGGGUAGCUGUGAUUUAUAUCCACAGAGCUUAAAACACAAUCCAAAUGGAAGGUUUGUUGUGGUUUGUGGUGAUGGAGAGUAUAUUAUUUAUACUGCCCUUGCAUGGAGGAAUAGGUCUUUUGGAUCUGCCCUUGAGUUUGUUUGGGCAUCAGAUGGAGAAUAUGCAGUUCGAGAAAGUACAUCCAAGAUUAAAAUUUUCAGUAAAACAUUUCAGGAGAGGAAAAGUAUUCGUCCAACUUUUUCUGCUGAGUCUAUCUAUGGUGGAGCCUUGUUGGCUAUAUGUUCGAAUGAUUUUGUUUGCUUCUAUGAUUGGGCUGAAUGCCGUGUAAUUCGGCGGAUUGAUGUUACUGUGAAAAAUAUUUACUGGGCUGAUAGUGGAGAUCUGGUUGCAAUUGCCAGUGACAAUUCGUUCUAUAUUCUGAAAUACAAUCGUGAUGUUGUUUCUUCAUGCUUGGAUACUGGUAAGCCUAUUGAUGAGCAGGGGGUAGAGGAUGCUUUUGAACUUGUACAUGAGAUAAGUGAGCGGGUUAGGACUGGAAUAUGGGUUGGUGAUUGUUUUAUAUACAAUAACUCAUCUUGGCGUCUCAAUUAUUGUGUUGGUGGCGAGGUAACAACCAUGUUUCACUUAGAUCGGCCUAUGUAUUUGUUAGGCUAUCUCGCGAGUCAGAGUAGGGUAUAUCUUAUUGACAAAGAGUUCAAUGUGAUGGGCUAUACAUUACUGCUUAGUUUGAUAGAGUAUAAGACACUUGUUAUGCGGGGCGACCUUGAUAGGGCAAAUGAAGUUUUACCUACAAUUCCUCGGGAGCAUCUGAACAGUGUGGGUCGAUUUUUGGAGUCACGAGGCAUGUUAGAGGAAGCGCUUGAAGUGUCUACAGACCCGGACUACAAAUUUGAUCUGGCAGUACAGCUUGGAAGGAUUGAAGUAGCAAAGGCAAUUGCUGUUGAAGCACAGAGUGAAUCAAAAUGGAAACAAUUAGGAGAACUAGCCAUGUCUUCUGGAAAGUUAGACAUGGCUGAAGAAUGCCUAAGCCAUGCAUCAGACCUAAGUGGAUUGUUGCUUCUCUACUCGUCAAUGGGAGAUGCAGAUGGGAUGGCCAGACUUGCUACUCUUGCCAGAGACCAGGGGAAAAACAAUGUUACAUUUCUUUGUUUGUUCCUGCUGGGUAAAGUAGAAGAAUGUAUCCAGCUAUUGGUGGAAAGCAAUCGCAUACCAGAAGCUGCUUUUAUGGCAAGAUCCUAUCUGCCAAGCAAGGUUUCAGAAAUUGCUUCCACUUGGCGUGAUGACCUUAGUAAGGUAAAUCAAAAAGCUGCAGAGUCGUUAGCAGAUCCAAAGGACUACCCUAAUCUUUUUGAUGACUGGCAUUUGGCGCUCUCUGUUGAAUCUCAACUAAAGGAGUCAAGGAAUGGCUUUCCUCCUGCAGAGGAUUAUCCAAAAUAUAUGCAUACAAGGAAUACAGACCUUAUUCAGGAGUUCAGAAAUUUGCAUAUUGAUGGGGAAGCACCUCUAGAAAAUGGAGAUUCUGUUCAUGAGGUAAUAGACACCCAUGAAGAUUAUGUUCCUGGUGUCUCUCUCAAUGAAACAAUUGAAGAUUAUGUUCGUGAUGAAACCCAAGAAGAAACAAUUGAUGGAGAGAAGUAUGUAGAAGCAGAAGGAUCUACAGAAGGAGAGGUGCUUGUUAAUGGAAAUGAAGCAGAAGAAGAAGAGUGGGGUAUGGACAAUGAAGGAAACCAGCCAGCAUGAAAUUGCGGUUGUUCUAGCAUGAUGAUAGGAUGUGUAUUUCUGGGAUUCCCAUUUCAGUAAUUUUGACAGCUGCUUAAAUUGGAACAAGAUGUCCCGGAUGACUGUAUCAGGACGGAGUAGCUUGAGCACCAGUUGCGCGAUCUCUAUACAAUUGAAUGAUGUCCAAGACAACUUUCUCAGUACAGGACAGAGGCAUUAUCUCAAUGAAUUAUUUUUUGAGCAUAGUAGCUGUUACCUGCAAUGGUUUUAGAUGACAGUUGAGCAUGCAUCACACCAUUUAGUAGUGUCGAUUUGCGCUGAAAACAACAUUUUUGUUAUGCUGCGGUAAAAAACAAAGCCGUGCAUCUUUGUAUUUUCUCUUUGAUAAUGGAAGCCUAUGGCUUCAAAACAGGGUUGGGAGUGCAUCCUAGAGGGAUUAUGCUACAAUUAUGAUUUAGGCCACAAAAUUUAUUUCUAUUUUCCCUUUCAAUCAAUCUGUUGAUUACGAAAAGUGUUGAAAUAGAAGGAUGCCCAAUUAUUUACCUAGUGAUUAGUAAUGUGUCAGUAAUAUAGUAAUAAGGGCUCUAAAGCUCUAGAAGCUGUAAGUUUUUUAGAAGGUGAUAAUGGUAUUUUAUUUAAAGCUUUGAAUUUAAUCA